AGACGGGGGCCCGCACAAGCAGUGGAGUAUGUGGUUAAUUCGAAGCAACGCGAAGAACCUUACCAGGGCUUGACAUCCCUUGAAGCAGCUAGAGAUAGCUGUGUCCUUCGGGACAAGGAGACAGGUGGUGCAUGGUUGUCGUCAGCUCGUGUCGUGAGAUGUUGGGUUAAGUCCCGCAACGAGCGCAACCCUCGCCUCUAGUUGCCAGCAUUCGGUUGGGCACUCUAGAGGGACUGCCGGCGACAAGUCGGAGGAAGGUGGGGAUGACGUCAAAUCAUCAUGCCCCUUAUGACCUGGGCUACACACGUGCUACAAUGGGCGGUACAAAGGGCUGCGAACCCGCGAGGGGGAGCGAAUCCCAAAAAGCCGCUCUCAGUUCGGAUUGCAGGCUGCAACUCGCCUGCAUGAAGCCGGAAUCGCUAGUAAUCGCGGAUCAGCAUGCCGCGGUGAAUACGUUCCCGGGCCUU
rnacentral:rRNA from 1 species